rnacentral:tRNA from 1 species
GCCCUGGUGGUGUAGCCUGGUCUAUCAUGAAGCCCUGUCGAGGCUUCGACCCGGGUUCAAACAACUGUUUCGCUCAUUGCAGACAUCAAGUUUGAGCGCAUUUGAAAGUCCCGGCCAGGGCG